rnacentral:rRNA from 1 species
UACGGGGGGGGGCAAGCGUUGUUCGGAAUUACUGGGCGUAAAGGCUCGUAGGCGGCCAACUAAGUCAGACGUGAAAUCCCCAGGCUUAACCUGGGAACUGCGUCUGAUACUGGAUGGCUUGAAUUCGGGAGAGGGAUGCAGAAUUCCAGGUGUAGCGGUGAAAUGCGUAGAUAUCUGGAGGAAUACCGGUGGCGAAGGCGGCAUCCUGGACCGACAUUGACGCUGAGGAGCGAAAGCUAGGGGAGCAAACGGG